rnacentral:rRNA from 1 species
UACAGAGGUCUCAAGCGUUGUUCGGAUUCAUUGGGCGUAAAGGGUGCGUAGGUGGCGUGGUAAGUCGGGUGUGAAAUUUCGGAGCUUAACUCCGAAACUGCAUUCGAUACUGGCGUGCUUGAGGACUGGAGAGGAGACUGGAAUUUACGGUGUAGCAGUGAAAUGCGUAGAGAUCGUAAGGAAGACCAGUGGCGAAGGCGGGUCUCUGGACAGUUCCUGACACUGAGGCACGAAGGCCAGGGGAGCAAACGGG